AGAGAUACCACCAGCUUCUGAUGGUGUUACACCCUGGAAAUGGCAGUCCAGCUCUAGCUUCUGGAAGGCAACUGGCAAGAGCAUAAGAAAACAGCCGAAGAUUAGAUUUUGAUAAUGAGAGAGCCCAACGAUCCUGGACCCCUGGCCGGGAGGACAAUAGGGGAAACAGGUGAAACACUGUGUGAGCUGGACCACCCAGGCUCUCCAACACCAGGACACCAGAGCAUCCUUCCUCCUUCUUCUCUUCUGCUGCGACUUCCUGGAGGCAUAGCAGAGUUACAACUGCUGGCCAUGUGGAACUUCUCUUCUCCUAUAAGUUUGCUCUGAGAUGGAGAGAUUGUGCCUGUGGUUCAUUAGGAAGAGCUCUUGGGAUCAAUGCCUGUAAUAAGGAAGGGAAGGAAUCAGGAUUGGCCAGAAGGAGAAGUUGAGCUGUGUUGAAGCCUCAAUGGAGACCUCAGCCAAUUCUGAGUCAUGUCCUGAAGCUAGAAUAUGUCCUCUAAAUUAUCCCAAGCUGAGAUGAGGGAGCUGGGCAUUUAGCCCUGUAUUAGGCCAUUCUUGCACUGCUAUAAAGAAAUAACUAUGGCCUGGCGCCGUGGCUCACGUCCUUAAUCCUAGCACUUUGGGAGGCCGAGGCGAGCAGAUCACGAGGUCAGAGUUUGACACCAGCCUGGCCAAUAUGGUGAAACCCCAAUUCUACUAAAAAUACGAAAAUUAGCCAGGCGUGGUGGCACAUGUCUGUAAUCUCAGCUACUCGGGAGGCUGAGGCAGGAGAAUUGCUUGAACCCAGGAAGUGGAGGUUGCAGUGAGCUGAGAUUGUGCCUCUGCACUCCAGCCUAGGGAAUAAAGCGAAAGUCUGUCAAAAAAAAAAAAAAAAAGGAAAGAAGGAAAUAACUGAGACUGGUAAUUUAUAAAGAAGAGGUUUAAUUGGCUCACAGUUCCUCAUGCUAUACAAAAAGCAUGAUGCUGGCAUCUGCUCAGCUUCUUGGGAGGCCUCAGGAAAUGUACAAUCAUGGCAGAAGGUGACGCGGGAGCAGGCAGUUCACAGGGCCGGUGCAGGAGGAGAGAGAGAGGCAGGAGAUGCUACACGCCUUUAAACAACCAGAUCUCCUGAUAACUCACUCUCGUCACAACACCACCAAGGGAGAUGGUGUUAAACCAUGAGAAACCACCUCCACGAUCCAAUCACCUCCCACCAGGCCUCACCUCCAACACUGGGGAUUUAUAAUUCCACGUGAGAUUUGGGUAGAGGACACAGAUCCAAAAUAUAUCAUACCCCCACGUUGAUCAGUCAUUAGAUGUGGGCCACCCUAGUUGAGGCAGCUCCCCUCGCUCAGGUGGUUCCUGAAGCGAGCUGACAGCUGACGGCUGCAUGCCAGAGGUACUGUCAGCAGCUGAAGGAGAGUCUUUUGUGCUAAAAGCCAUCUUAAGCAGCACAGCACAGCGUCCACCACAUAUUGUGGACAGGUGAUAUGGUUUAGAUCUGUAUCCCCACCACAAUUUCAUGCUGAAUUGUAGUCCCCAAUGUUGGAGGUAAGCCCUGGUGGGAGGUGUUCGGGUCGUGGGAGCAGAUCCCUCAUGAAUGGCUUGGGCCAUCCUCUUGGUGAUGAGGGAACACUCACUCUGAGUGUUCACAAGAUCUGGUGGUUUAAACGUGUAUGGCACCUCUCCCCACCCCCACUCUUUCUUGUUCCUGCUUUUGCCAUGGGACUCGCAUGAUCCCUUUGCCUUCUGCCAGGACUAAAAGCUCCCUGGAGCCUCCUCAGAAGCUGAGCGAUGUUGGCGCCAUGCUUCUGGUACAGCCUGCAGAACCAUGAGCCAAUUCAACCUCCUUUCUUUAUAAAUUACCCAGUCUCAGGUAUUUCUUUAUGGCAAUACAAGAACACCAGGGGUUUGCAGGUAACCCGGGCCCCUGUCCUUGAGGACACAGCAGCAAGCCAUUGGUAAAGCAAAACUGUCCAUAAGGAAGGCUGCUCCCAUGCAGUGUUCAUUUGGGCAGCCCAGAAAUCGAGAAAUCCUCGGUCCAUUUCAAGUUUGGGGGAAAACUUAUUUUUAUCAUAUUUGAGAUGAAUAAUAAAAGCAAAUCCAGAA
rnacentral:lncRNA from 1 species